CCCUAGAAAGCUCCGAUGGCA
rnacentral:tRNA from 1 species